rnacentral:rRNA from 1 species
GGCACUGCCCGGUAGCUAAAUGCGGAAGAGAUAAGUGCUGAAAGCAUCUAAGCACGAAACUUGCCCCGAGAUGAGUUCUCCCUGAGACUUUAAGUCUCCUGAAGGAACGUUAAAGACGAUGACGUUGAUAGGCCGGGUGUGUAAGCGCAGCGAUGCGUUGAGCUAACCGGUACUAAUGAACCGUGAGGCUUAACCUUACAA